UGCUAUACAUGCAGUCGAACGCUUCUUUCCUCCCGAGUGCUUGCACUCAAUUGGAAAGAGGAGUGGCGGACGGGUGAGUAACACGUGGGUAACCUACCCAUCAGAGGGGGAUAACACUUGGAAACAGGUGCUAAUACCGCAUAACAGUUUAUGCCGCAUGGCAUAAGAGUGAAAGGCGCUUUCGGGUGUCGCUGAUGGAUGGACCCGCGGUGCAUUAGCUAGUUGGUGAGGUAACGGCUCACCAAGGCCACGAUGCAUAGCCGACCUGAGAGGGUGAUCGGCCACACUGGGACUGAGACACGGCCCAGACUCCUACGGGAGGCAGCAGUAGGGAAUCUUCGGCAAUGGACGAAAGUCUGACCGAGCAACGCCGCGUGAGUGAAGAAGGUUUUCGGAUCGUAAAACUCUGUUGUUAGAGAAGAACAAGGACGUUAGUAACUGAACGUCCCCUGACGGUAUCUAACCAGAAAGCCACGGCUAACUACGUGCCAGCAGCCGCGGUAAUACGUAGGUGGCAAGCGUUGUCCGGAUUUAUUGGGCGUAAAGCGAGCGCAGGCGGUUUCUUAAGUCUGAUGUGAAAGCCCCCGGCUCAACCGGGGAGGGUCAUUGGAAACUGGGAGACUUGAGUGCAGAAGAGGAGAGUGGAAUUCCAUGUGUAGCGGUGAAAUGCGUAGAUAUAUGGAGGAACACCAGUGGCGAAGGCGGCUCUCUGGUCUGUAACUGACGCUGAGGCUCGAAAGCGUGGGGAGCAAACAGGAUUAGAUACCCUGGUAGUCCACGCCGUAAACGAUGAGUGCUAAGUGUUGGAGGGUUUCCGCCCUUCAGUGCUGCAGCAAACGCAUUAAGCACUCCGCCUGGGGAGUACGACCGCAAGGUUGAAACUCAAAGGAAUUGACGGGGGCCCGCACAAGCGGUGGAGCAUGUGGUUUAAUU
rnacentral:rRNA from 1 species